UGGGGAAUUUUGGACAAUGGGCGAAAGCCUGAUCCAGCAAUGCCGCGUGUGUGAAGAAGGCCUUCGGGUUGUAAAGCACUUUUGUCCGGAAAGAAAUCCUUGGCUCUAAUACAGUCGGGGGAUGACGGUACCGGAAGAAUAAGCACCGGCUAACUACGUGCCAGCAGCCGCGGUAAUACGUAGGGUGCAAGCGUUAAUCGGAAUUACUGGGCGUAAAGCGUGCGCAGGCGGUUUGCUAAGACCGAUGUGAAAUCCCCGGGCUCAACCUGGGAACUGCAUUGGUGACUGGCAGGCUAGAGUAUGGCAGAGGGGGGUAGAAUUCCACGUGUAGCAGUGAAAUGCGUAGAGAUGUGGAGGAAUACCGAUGGCGAAGGCAGCCCCCUGGGCCAAUACUGACGCUCAUGCACGAAAGCGUGGGGGAGCAAAACAGGAUUAGAUACCCCUGGUAGUCCACGCCCUAAACGAUGUCAACUAGUUGUUGGGGAUUCAUUUCCUUAGUAACGUAGCUAACGCGUGAAGUUGACCGCCUGGGGAGUACGGUCGCAAGAUUAAAACUCAAAGGAAUUGACGGGGUCAUAGCUGUUUCCU
rnacentral:rRNA from 1 species